rnacentral:tRNA from 1 species
GGAGACGUGGCUGAGUGGUCUAAAGCGGCACGGUGCUAACGUGUUGUCCGGGUAAAACCAGACCGCAGGUUCGAAUCCUGCCGCCUCCG